rnacentral:rRNA from 1 species
UACAGAGGUGGCAAGCGUUGUUCGGAAUUACUGGGCGUAAAGGGCGCGUAGGCGGCCUACUAAGUCAGACGUGAAAUCCCUCAGCUUAACUGGGGAACUGCGUCUGAUACUGGAUGGCUUGAGUUUGGGAGAGGGAUGCGGAAUUCCAGGUGUAGCGGUGAAAUGCGUAGAUAUCGGAAGGAACACCUGAGGCGAAGGCGGGUUGCUAGGCUGACACUGACGCUGAGGCGCGAAAGCUAGGGUAGCAAACGGG